GCAAACUGGCGGCGUGCUAAUCAUGCAAGUCGCACGCACGAAGUUGAAGAGCUUGCUCUUUAACCAGUGAGUGGCGGACGGGUGAGUAACACGUGGGUAACCUGCCCAUUAGAGGGGGAUAACAUUCGGAAACGGAUGCUAAUACCGCAUAGUUUCAGGAAUCGCAUGAUUCUUGAAGGAAAGGUGGCUUCGGCUACCACUAAUGGAUGGACCCGCGGCGUAUUAGCUAGUUGGUGAGGUAAUGGCUCACCAAGGCAAUGAUACGUAGCCGACCUGAGAGGGUGAUCGGCCACACUGGGACUGAGACACGGCCCAGACUCCUACGGGAGGCAGCAGUAGGGAAUCUUCCGCAAUGGACGAAAGUCUGACGGAGCAACGCCGCGUGAGUGAAGAAGGUUUUCGGAUCGUAAAACUCUGUUGUUAAAGAAGAACAAGGAUGAGAGUAACUGCUCAUCCCCUGACGGUAUUUAACCAGAAAGCCACGGCUAACUACGUGCCAGCAGCCGCGGUAAU
rnacentral:rRNA from 1 species